rnacentral:rRNA from 1 species
AACGAACGCUGGCGGCGUGCUUAACACAUGCAAGUCGAACGCGAAAGGGACUUCGGUCCUGAGUAAAGUGGCGCACGGGUGAGUAACGCGUAGAUAACCUGUCUUCAUGCCUGGAAUAAUACGCCGAAAGGGGUACUAAUACCGGAUAUUCUUGCUUUUCAUAAGUUAUGCAAGCAAAGGUGGCCUCUGCAUAUGCUACUGCAUGAAGAGGGGUCUGCGUACCAUUAGCUAGUAGGUGGGGUAAUGGCCUACCUAGGCGACGAUGGUUAGCGGGUCUGAGAGGAUGAUCCGCCACACUGGCACUGGAACACGGGCCAGACUCCUACGGGAGGCAGCAGUGAGGAAUAUUGCGCAAUGGGGGAAACCCUGACGCAGCGACGCCGCGUGAGUGAGGAAGGCCUUCGGGUCGUAAAGCUCUGUCAAGAGGAAAGAAGUGUACAAUGGCUAAUACCUGUUGUAUUUGACGGUACCUCUAAAGGAAGCACCGGCUAACUCCGUGCCAGCCGCCGC